GGCCUUUUGCAAGUAACUAGUUUUGAAAGGUCCGAGGCUGAGUCGGAAAUAAGUCACGCAUGGAGCAACGGUGAGACGGUCGGCAAUCUCUCACGGCCUCAGCUGCAGUCCCACCAUACGGGGAAGUUAGAUCAGCAGGAAAGGCCCCCACAAAUAGGCACAGUCUGUAGUUGCGCCUGACAUAAUUCCCUCUGCAGAUGCUGUUGCUCGCUAGCUCGCCAGAAAUCGAGUUAUGGGCGCUAAUUUGUCGUACACUACAAUGGACCUGAGCUGAGUGGUCGUGUUGCAAUCGUAACCGGUGCUAACUCCGGUACGGGCUAUGAGUAUGAGACUACGAAAGCCCUGGCCAGGAUGGGGGCCAAGGUCAUCAUGGCCUGCAGAUCACAGAGCAGAGCUGAACAGUUAAUCCAUUCGACCGGCAAGAGUUUGUACACGUCAUUCUGCCCAAGCUGUACAAGAUUCCCUGCGCCAAGUUUCGCAACUGUGUCCAGGGCCAAGGGCUUCUGCGGUUGGAAGACAUCGAGGAGUUAAUUUGCCGUGAGAAGCAGAGCGGAACGGAGGAGCAUCACGUGUACGUGAUAAACUGCAUACGUGCAUGCGGACGGGAUACCUACGCCAAGCUCUGCGAUGCCAUCGCACCCAUGUUCACCCACCGCUGGCUGACGAGAUGCGUACGCUUCUCCGGUAAUUCAGUGACGUCGUCCGGCGAAAUUCAACUGUCAAGUUAUCACCACCAGUUCUGUACAAGAGACAAGUCGGGGAUGUCAGUCGCACUAGGUGGGCGCGGGUGUCCGCGCACGCGUGUGCCUGUGUGUGUGUGUGUGUGUGUGCGUGUGUGUGUGUGUGUGUGUGUGUGUGUGUGUGUGUGUGUGUGCGUGUGUGUGCGCGUGCACACACGUGUGUUUUGUGAGUCUACACACGUGUGCGUAUGUUGUGUAUUCGUAUUCGUAUUUGUAUUUCAUAAUCAGCAGCUUCAGUUCAGGUUUAGUUCCGCUAGUGUGUACAUAGUCCUAUACACUGCCUUUGCUUUGUCACGAUGACACACCCUGGCCAUGCUCUGUUAUUCCCUGCAUGCUGUUCACUAUAAUCAUUCCUGACUGACUGACUUUGCCCCAGUCAGUACAGUACAAUGUGCUACAAGCUGGUAAUCUUGUUUUUGAUGCCCGUUGCUCUUUCACGUGCCACUCAGCAGUAUCUGUGUGUGUGUGUGUGUGUGUGUGUGUGUGUGUGUGUGUGUGUGUGUGUGUGUGUGUGUGUGUGUGUGUGUGUGUGUGUGUGUGCGUGAGUGUGUAGGAGGGCACACACACUUGCUUGUGGGCUUGAAGUACUUGCUUCCAAUACCCAGAUAGCUACUACAUGUAUUAGCUAUUUCAAGCACUAGUCUAUUAGGUCUCAAUACAGUGUGCCGCUGACUGUGUUUGUACGUCUGAUCUUGAUAUCCUCAAUGCUAUGGGUUGAUCGCCACUUUCCAAAACUAGUUUACCGCCUAAAUCAUGUAUUUUCCCUCCUUGCGGUGCCCGUACGCGCUUUGCACCUGCAUCGUACGAACGCUUCCCCAUAUUUUUGUAUAUGCUGCUAGCCGUGUCCGCUGUCACGUGAUUGCUGCACAUUGCUCUGUGUCUGCCUUUCAGAGCUAUUACUGCAAUGAUCCACUGGAGCCCCGUUCUGUGGUGAACACCUGAUUUGCUCUCUCUCUCUCUCUCUCUCUCUCUCUCUCUCUCUCUCUCUCUCUCUCUCUCUCUCUCUCUCUCGUUUCUUGUCUCGGAUCAAACCUCUAUCAUGUUUUCAAUUUGUCUAUGUCAAUGUCGGCAGUACCUGUUCUGCAUUUAUGUCCUCGCUACCCCUACCCCCUCCCCCACCCACCCGGCCCCAUAUCCUGGCUGGUGUGCAUUGAUUAUUUUCUAUCCCACUAUACUGACUGACUGACUGAAUGAUAGCAUGUCUUAGAGGGACAUCAGCUCCAUGCUUACCUUGGUAUGGUGCUGGCUGAUCUA